UGGGGAAUUUUGGACAAUGGGCGCAAGCCUGAUCCAGCGAUGCCGCGUGCAGGAUGAAGGCCUUCGGGUUGUAAACUGCUUUUGUACGGAGCGAAAAGGUCUGCCCUAAUACGGUGGGCUCAUGACGGUACCGUAAGAAUAAGCACCGGCUAACUACGUGCCAGCAGCCGCGGUAAUACGUAGGGUGCGAGCGUUAAUCGGAAUGACUGGGCGUAAAGCGUGCGCAGGCGGUUAUAUAAGACAGGUGUGAAAUCCCCGGGCUCAACCUGGGACCUGCAUUUGAGACUGUAUAGCUAGAGUGCGGUAGAGGGGGGUGGAAUUCCGCGUGUAGCAGUGAAAUGCGUAGAUAUGCGGAAGAACACCGAUGGCGAAGGCAAUCCCCUGGACCUGUACUGACGCUCAUGCACGAAAGCGUGGGGAGCAAACA
rnacentral:rRNA from 1 species